rnacentral:misc_RNA from 1 species
AACGCAUAUGGCACCCGAGACCUCGGUCGAGGGUAUGUCUGUCUCAGAGUCGGCGUAAAAAAAUCCCCGAAUCCGCGUACGCGCUGGACGAGGGGGAGCUGGCUUUCCCGGGGAAUCGGGCUAACAUCCCGAGCUCUUCCCGGGUUGGCUGAAGGACAGAGACGAGGGACCGGUUACGCCGGACAGCCACGAUUUGGUGGAUGGACUUCGCGUCCGCAACACUCGUCGUGCGUCCAAACAGUACCGUGUUUGCCCUCUGCCGGCAGGAUUUAUUAAUUAAUUUUUCCGACCUGAGAUCAGGCAAGAUCACCCGCUGAACUUAA